UUAAUUUUGCCUAAUCUUUACCAACUCCACAUUUUUGGAGGAAGUGCGGGUAAGAACUCACUACGACAGAGCUCCGCAGCGGCCGUCGCUUGGAUAUUUCCGCACUGGUGGAUGAGGCGGCCUCUUCCGGUCACCUACUAAUGUAGGAAUGAUUGGCUGCAACCUAUUUGUUUUUGAAGGCUUCCGGGCCGGUCUUGCACUCUCCGACAUCGACAACGAUGGUGACCUUGACUGUGUAACGACUACGCAAGAAGAUUACAAUGCCAGCGUGCCAAUUGUGUAACAUACGUGUGGCAUCUCCAGGCCGUAAACGGACACGAAGCGCGAGAUAUCUACUUCGAUGUCCGCGCUGGCGAUGCCCCUGGCCAGUUCCUUAUGAAGUACAAAAAUGUUGAUGGGCCUCUUCAAGAGGGCACAGUAUUCUACUCUGACUACAAGGACUGCGUUGUGGUGGCAUUGCCUUACGGAAAUUCCCAAGAAUGCAUGUUGUGGGUAUCUUGGGAAGCGAAGAACAACGUUUCUCAGCGUUGCAGAGACGAAUAUGAAGACAAGUGCGAAGACGCUAAAGAAGCAUUUGAUGAUGAGACCUGUAGCCCUUUCUUCAAAGACAAUGGAUCAUAGGAUUGUUAUUGCAAUGACACAUGGAGAUUAUUCAUUGCCCUACAGCACGUCGCUUGGCUAGUUUAUGCAAAAUUUGUUUCUCACGGUUACAUGGUGUCUAGCACAAUUCCGUAAAAUAACAACUAUAGGCACAAUUUUGAUUGAUCCUGUGGAGCAAACUUUUGAAGCUUUCAACAAUAAAGUCACGGCUGAUAUGCACCUGA